rnacentral:rRNA from 1 species
CUCCUACGGGAGGCAGCAGUGGGGAAUAUUGCACAAUGGGGGAAACCCUGAUGCAGCGACGCCGCGUGGAGGAAGAAGGUCUUCGGAUUGUAAACUCCUGUUGUUGAGGAAGAUAAUGACGGUACUCAACAAGGAAGUGACGGCUAACUACGUGCCAGCAGCCGCGGUAAAACGUAGGUCACAAGCGUUGUCCGGAAUUACUGGGUGUAAAGGGAGCGCAGGCGGGAGAACAAGUUGGAAGUGAAAUCCAUGGGCUCAACCCAUGAACUGCUUUCAAAACUGUUUUUCUUGAGUAGUGCAGAGGUAGGCGGAAUUCCCGGUGUAGCGGUGGAAUGCGUAGAUAUCGGGAGGAACACCAGUGGCGAAGGCGGCCUACUGGGCACCAACUGACGCUGAGGCUCGAAAGUGUGGGUAGCAAACAGGAUUAGAUACCCUGGUAGUCCACACCGUAAACGAUGAUUACUAGGUGUUGGAGGAUUGACCCCUUCAGUGCCGCAGUUAACACAAUAAGUAAUCCACCUGGGGAGUACGACCGCAAGGUUGAAACUCAAAGGAAUUGACGGGGGCCCGCACAAGCAGUGGAGUAUGUGGUUUAAUUCGACGCAACGCGAAGAACCUUACCAAGUCUUGACAUCCCUUGACGAACAUAGAAAUAUGUUUUCUCUUCGGAGCAAGGAGACAGGUGGUGCAUGGUUGUCGUCAGCUCGUGUCGUGAGAUGUUGGGUUAAGUCCCGCAACGAGCGCAACCCUUAUUGCCAGUUACUACGUAAGAGGACUCUGGCGAGACUGCCGUUGACAAAACGGAGGAAGGUGGGGAUGACGUCAAAUCAUCAUGCCCUUUAUGACCUGGGCUACACACGUACUACAAUGGCGUUUAACAAAGAGAAGCAAGACCGCGAGGUGGAGCAAAACUCAAAAACAACGUCUCAGUUCAGAUUGCAGGCUGCAACUCGCCUGCAUGAAGUCGGAAUUGCUAGUAAUCGCGGAUCAGCAUGCCGCGGUGAAUACGUUCCCGGGCCUUGUACACACCGC